AGAGUUUGAUCAUGGCUCAGAGUGAACGCUGGCGGCGUGCUUAACACAUGCAAGUCGAACGGUAACAGAUACUUCGGUAUGCUGACGAGUGGCGCACGGGUGAGUAAUAUAUAGAUAAUGUGCCCCUUAGUCUGGGAUAGCCAUUGGAAACGAUGAUUAAUACCGGAUACUCCUUUUCAACAUAAGUUGGAUUGGGAAAGUUUUUCGCUAAGGGAUCUGUCUAUAUCCUAUCAGUUUGUUGGUAGUGUAAGAGACUACCAAGACUAUGACGGGUAGCGGGUUUGAGAGGAUGAUCCGCCACACUGGUACUGAGACACGGACCAGACUCCUACGGGAGGCAGCAGUGAGGAAUAUUGCACAAUGGACGAAAGUCUGAUGCAGCAACGCCGCGUGGAGGAUGACGCAUUUCGGUGUGUAAACUCCUUUUAUAUGUCAAGAAAAUGACGGUAGCAUAUGAAUAAGCACCGGCUAACUCCGUGCCAGCAGCCGCGGUAAUACGGAGGGUGCAAGCGUUACUCGGAAUCACUGGGCGUAAAGGACGCGUAGGCGGGAAGUCAAGUCUGAUGUGAAAUCCUAUGGCUCAACCAUAGAACUGCAUUGGAAACUGGCUACCUAGAGUAUGGGAGGGGGGAGAUGGAAUUAGUGGUGUAGGGGUAAAAUCCGUAGAUAUCACUAGGAAUACCGAAAGCGAAGGCGAUCUCCUGGAACAUAACUGACGCUGAGGCGUGAAAGCGUGGGGGAGCAAACGGGGAUUAGA
rnacentral:rRNA from 1 species